UACGGAGGGGGCUAGCGUUGUUCGGAAUUACUGGGCGUAAAGCGCACGUAGGCGGCUUUGUAAGUUAGAGGUGAAAGCCUGGAGCUCAACUCCAGAAUUGCCUUUAAGACUGCAUCGCUUGAAUCAUGGAGAGGCGGGUGGAAUUCCGAGUGUAGAGGUGAAAUUCGUAGAUAUCGUAAGGAAGACCAGUGGCGAAGGCGGGUCUCUGGACAGUUCCUGACGCUGAGGCACGAAGGUCAGGGGAGCAAACGGG
rnacentral:rRNA from 1 species